rnacentral:rRNA from 2 species
ACGGGUGAGUAACGCGUGGGAACGUACCUUUUGGUUCGGAACAACACAGGGAAACUUGUGCUAAUACCGGAUAAGCCCUUACGGGGAAAGAUUUAUCGCCGAAAGAUCGGCCCGCGUCUGAUUAGCUAGUUGGUAGGGUAAUGGCCUACCAAGGCGACGAUCAGUAGCUGGUCUGAGAGGAUGAUCAGCCACAUUGGGACUGAGACACGGCCCAAACUCCUACGGGAGGCAGCAGUGGGGAAUAUUGGACAAUGGGGGCAACCCUGAUCCAGCCAUGCCGCGUGAGUGAUGAAGGCCCUAGGGUUGUAAAGCUCUUUUGUGCGGGAAGAUAAUGACGGUACCGCAAGAAUAAGCCCCGGCUAACUUCGUGCCAGCAGCCGCGGUAAUACGAAGGGGGCUAGCGUUGCUCGGAAUCACUGGGCGUAAAGGGUGCGUAGGCGGGUCUUUAAGUCAGGGGUGAAAUCCUGGAGCUCAACUCCAGAACUGCCUUUGAUACUGAAGAUCUUGAGUUCGGGAGAGGUGAGUGGAACUGCGAGUGUAGAGGUGAAAUUCGUAGA